AUGGCCAUACCACAUUGAAAACACGGAUUCUCGUUCGAUCACCCAAGUUAAGCAACGUUUGGGCACGGUCAGUACUUGGUAGGGUGACCACCUGGGAACACCAGGAGCUGUAGGCU